rnacentral:rRNA from 1 species
ACGCUGGCGGCACGCCUAACACAUGCAAGUCGAACGAAGUAGCAAUACUUAGUGGCAGACGGGUGAGUAACAUGUAGGUAUCUGCCCUUUGGCCUGGAAUAACACGAGGAAACUUGUGCUAAUACCGGAUAAGUCUUUACGGAGAAAGCUUUAUGCACCAUUGGAUGAGCCUGCACUUGAUUAGUUUGUUGGUGGGGUAAUGGCCUACCAAGACUGUGAUCAAUAGCUGAUUUGAGAGGAUGAUCAGCCACAUUGGGACUGAGACACGGCCCAAACUCCUACGGGAGGCAGCAGUGGGGAAUCUUGCACAAUGGAGGAAACUCUGAUGCAGCGAUGCCGCGUGAGUGAAGAAGGCCCUUGGGUUGUAAAGCUCUUUCGUCGGGGAAGAAAAUGACUGUACCCGAAUAAGAAGGUCCGGCUAACUUCGUGCCAGCAGCCGCGGUAAUACGAAGGGACCUAGCGUAGUUCGGAAUUACUGGGCUUAAAGAGUUCGUAGGUGGUUGAAAAAGUUAGUGGUGAAAUCCCAGAGCUUAACUCUGGAACUGCCAUUAAAACUUUUUAGCUAGAGUAUGAUAGAGGAAAGCAGAAUUUCUAGUGUAGAGGUGAAAUUCGUAGAUAUUAGAAAGAAUACCAAUUGCGAAGGCAGCUUUCUGGAUCAUUACUGACACUGAGGAACGAAAGCAUGGGUAGCGAAGAGGAUUAGAUACCCUCGUAGUCCAUGCCGUAAACGAUGUGUGUUAGACGUUGGAAAUUUAUUUUCAGUGUCGCACCGAAAGCGAUAAACACACCGCCUGG